CCCGCUGAGUUUAAGCAUAUCAAUAAGCGGAAGAAAAGAAACUUACCAGGAUUCCCCUAGUAAUGGCCAGCGAAUCGAGAAAAGCCCAGCUUGAGAAUCGGUCGCCAUCGGCAUCUGAAUUGUAGUCUGGAGAAGCGUCCUUAGCGAUGGACGGGGCCCAAGUCCCCUGAAAAGGGGCGCCGGAGAGGGUGAGAGCCACGUCGUGCCCGGACCUUGUCGUACCACGAGGCGCUAUCUACUAGUCGGGUUGUUUGGGAAUACAGCCUAAUCGGGCGGUAAAUUCUGUCCAAGGCUAAAUACGAGUGAGAGACCGAUAGUGAACAAGUACCGCGAGGGAAAGAUGAAAACGAUUUUGAAAAUAGAGUCAAAGAGUGAUUGAAAUUGUUGGGAGGGCAGCUAAUGGGGGCCAGCAAUACGCCCCGGUCGGAUGUGGAAUGGUGAGAGCCGGUCUGCCGAUUGGCUCGAGGCGUGGACCGACAAGGGUCGUGGCGGUGGCCCAAGCCCGGGCCUUUGAUACGCUCGGAGAGACCUCAUCGCCUCGAUCGUGGGAUUCAGCAUAUGCCGUCUCGGUCUAGUUCGGCACGUGCGUGCUCCGGGCGUCGGCCUGCAGGCUCCCCAUUCGGCCCGUCUUGAAACACAAACCAAAGAGUCUGACAUGUGUGCGAGUCAAUGGGCUAAAAAACCCGUAAGGCACAAGGAAGCUGAUUGGUGGGAUCCCUCGCGGGUGCACCACCGACCGACCUUGUUCUUCUGGGAAGGGUUCGAGUGAGAGCAUGCCUGUCGAGACCCGAAAGAUGGUGAACUAUGCCUGAGCGGGGCGAAGCCAAAGGAAACUCUGGUGGAGGCCCACAGUGAUGCUGACAUGCAAAUCGUUCGUCUGACUUGGGUAUGGGUGAAAGACUAAUCAAACCGUCUAGUAGCUGGUUCCUUUCCAAGUUUCCCUCAGGAUAGCUGGAGCCCUUAGCGAGUUAUAUUGGGUAAAGCCAAUGAUUAGAGGUAUCGGGGACGCAACGCCCUCGACCUAUUCUCAAACUUUAAAUUGGUAGGACGGCGCGGCUGCUUCGUUGAGCCGCGCCACGGAAUCGAGAGCUCCAAGUGGGCCAUUUUUGGUAUGCAGAACUGGUGAUGCGGGAUGAACCGAAAGCCGGGUUACGGUGCCCAACUACGUGCUAACCUAGAACCCACAAAGGGUGUUGGUUGAUUAAGACAGUAGGACGGUGGUCAUAGAAGUCGAAAUCCGCUAAGGAGUGUGUAACAACUCACCUGCCGAAUUAACUAGCCCAGAAAAUGGAUGGCGCUUAAGCGUGCGACCUAUACCCGGCCGUCGGGUCAAGGUAUAGAAGAACGUAAUUACUCUUAUGCACAAUACAACAUGCUAUAAAUCCUUCCAAAGUUUAGAAGAACGUAAUUCUGCUCUUGUUACUCUAAUUCUUGAAGAUACGGUUUGUGGUGGGAGAAUC
rnacentral:ncRNA from 1 species